AUUGAACGCUGGCGGCAGGCCUAACACAUGCAAGUCGAACGAGUGGCGGACGGGUGAGUAAUGUAUGGGAAACUGCCUGAUGGCGGGGGAUAACUACUGGAAACGGUAGCUAAUACCGCAUACCAUCAGAUGUGCCCAGAUGGGAUUAGCCAGUUGGUGGGGUAACGGCUCACCAAGGCGACGAUCCAUAGCUGGUCUGAGAGGAUGACCGGCCACACUGGAACUGAUACACGGUCCAGACUCCUACGGGAGGCAGCAGUAGGGAAUAUUGCGCAAUGGGCGCAAGCCUGAUGCAGCCAUGCCGCGUGUAUGAGGAAGGCCUUCGGGUUGUAAAGUACUGUCAGCGGGGAGGCGGUACCCGCAGAAGAAGCACCGGCUAACUCCGUGCCAGCAGCCGCGGUAAUAC
rnacentral:rRNA from 1 species